CUACGGGGGGCAGCAGUGGGGAAUAUUGCGCAAUGGGGGAAACCCUGACGCAGCGACGCCGUGUGAGUGAUGAAGGUUUUCGGAUCGUAAAGCUCUGUCAGGUGGGAAGAAUAAAGGGUGUGUGAAUAAUGCACUCUGAUGACGGUACCACCAGAGGAAGCACCGGCUAACUCCGUGCCAGCAGCCGCGGUAAUACGGAGGGUGCAAGCGUUGUUCGGAAUUACUGGGCGUAAAGCGCGUGUAGGCGGGCGUGCAGGUCAGAUGUGAAAUCCCUCGGCUCAACCGAGGAAGUGCAUCUGAAACCGCAUGUCUUGAGUACGAGAGAGGCAGAUGGAAUUCCCAGUGUAGAGGUGAAAUUCAUAGAUAUUGGGAAGAACACCGGUGGCGAAAGCGGUCUGCUGGCUCGAUACUGACGCUGAGACGCGAAAGCGUGGGGAGCAAACAGGAUUAGAUACCCGGGUAGUC
rnacentral:rRNA from 1 species